CUGCGCCUUUAAGAGGCCUCGGGCAGCCGGGUGGAGACCGGCGGCUCCCUCUUCCCCGCCCGGGCAGUUGGGCCCUCCCUGUUUUGAGUGACAGGCAAUCCGCCCAAUUGAAGAAAGAGAGCUCAGCGUGACGGCGAAACGGAGCAAUAGGAGCCUGGGUUGGCGUGCGCGGGGCGGGGUCCCGAGAGGGCCGGGCAGGCGGGAGGCUUAGCGGAGCGGCGGCUGGGGGACCUCGGCGCGGGAGCUGGGCCUUGGUCGGCGCCCUGCAGGGACCGGCAUCCCAGCCCAGCACUCUUCCUCUUGCACCUACACGGCCUGCUGAUUUUAAAAAGAAGAAACCAGGGGCUUCCCUGGAGGUCCAGUGGUUAAGACUCCGUGCUUCACUGAAGGUGACGUGAGUUCGAUCCCUGGUCCGGGAACUAAGAUCCCAUAUGCCUCACUCUGGCCAAAAAGUUAAAAAAAAAGAAGAAGAAACUAAAUUAAAUAACAAAUGGUCUUAGAGGCCAUGUUGUGCAUUUCCACAUGUAUGAAGUAUUUAUAUUAAUACAAAAGGCUGCAGGACAAUCCAUGGUGAUACAAGUCAGAAAGAAGUUGCCUCUUGGAGGGCUGGUGGGUGAGAGGCUGACCAGAAAGAGGUAGGAGGGAAAUUUGGGGGGUGUGAAAUGUUUGGUGUCUUGUUUUAGGUGGGUGGUUACAGGAAGGUGUGUGUGUGUGUUUCUGUUUUUUGUGUAUGUAUAUAUAUGUGUGUAUUUACAUAUGUAUACACACAUAUAUACAUAAGCUCUGCAUUGUAUUUUAUGUAAUUUGUAUCUAAAUUAAAAUGGUAUGACAAGGAUACCCUUAGAGAAGGAUAAGAGUGUCCUGGGGAUCCAGAGAUUCAUGGUACCAUGCCUGCUUUGCUCUGUCACCUGAGCAGAGCAUCUCCACCAGGACUUGGGCCUGUUUCUUUUCAGAGAUUUGUUGUGUGUCUAGGCACAUAGAAAUCACAUGUGAGAAGUUCCGCCUGGAGCUGCAGAAG
rnacentral:lncRNA from 1 species